rnacentral:rRNA from 1 species
CGAGGGGCAGCGGGGAGGAAGCUUGCUUUCUCCGCCGGCGACCGGCGCACGGGUGAGUAACACGUAUGCAACCUGCCCCUGUCAGGGGGACAACCCGCCGAAAGGCGGGCUAAACCCGCGUACAUGCCACCGGGGCAUCCCGGAGGCAGGAAAGGCUUCCGCCGGACAGGGAUGGGCAUGCGGCGCAUUAGGCAGUAGGCGGGGUAACGGCCCACCUAACCGACGAUGCGUAGGGGUUCUGAGAGGAAGGUCCCCCACACUGGUACUGAGACACGGACCAGACUCCUACGGGAGGCAGCAGUGAGGAAUAUUGGUCAAUGGUCGGGAGACUGAACCAGCCAAGCCGCGUGAGGGAGGAAGGUACAGAGUAUCGUAAACCUCUUUUGUCAGGGAACAAAGGCGGGGACGUGUCCCCGGAUGAAAAACAAAGAAGAAAAAGCAUCGGCUAACUCCGAACCAACAGCCGCGGUAAUACGGAGGAUGCGAGCGUUAUCCGGAUUUAUUGGGUUUAAAGGGUGCGCAGGCGGUCUGUUAAGUCAGCGGUCAAAGCCCGGGGCUCAACCCCGGCCCGCCGUUGAAACUGGCAGUCUCGAGUUGGAGAGAAGUAUGCGGAAUGCGCGGUGUAGCGGUGAAAUGCAUAG